AUGAGAACAUUUCUUUCUUGCAGAUAUAGGGAGGAUAUUUCUGGAAGGAAGAUUUUAUGGCCCACAUCUGGGGAAGAUCAGCUGGGGUUUAUGGCCCUCCUUAGAGGAGAAGAGAGGAAGUUCAUCACCUUGCUGGAAACACCAUCACAGACAAAGAGGUUUGUAAGUGAUUCCAAAUGCAGGUAAGUUACAAUAAAGAUUUACCAUGACUGGCUAUUACUACAGAUGGCAUUGAGAUGGUGUUUUUCCAUUACUGGAGAAAGGAAAGUGGAUGAGGUGGUCUUGUUCAUUUUUAUGCUCUAUGGUUAUAGCAGAUAUAGGAGAAUUAGUAUUUAGGAGAGAAAUAAGUGAUAUUAAAAUUUAAGUAAAAGGAAAGAAAAGAUUUUGGAGUGUUUCAAUGGUACCUAUCUAUCUAUAUAUUACAUUUAGUUUAUUGAUUUAUGUCUAGUCUUUGUAGGAACAUUUGCAAUUAUGUUGACAAUGGUUAUAUUGACAAAUGUGUAUAUGUGUGUGAAAAUACUUUAUUUUGCCUUGCUUUCUUGUCAUUUUUUCUAUAAUAUAAUGAUUUCCAAGAUAGUGUUUUUACUACACACACAAAAAUAAAAUACUUGUGUGAAGAAACAGAUGUUAGUUUACUUGAUUGUUAUUAUUCCAUAUCAUAGUAUUCAUCACUGAGCUAUUCAUUUAUAUACAUAUAAUUUUUACUUUUUAAUUAUGCCUCAGUAGAGCUAAAACAAGUCAAAUGUUUAAUGACUAUAAUAUAGUGUUUAGGUUUACUUAGUUAUUGAUUUAAUAACUUAGUUUAUUUCUAGUAUUAAAGGAUUUUUGCUUGAUAAACAUCUAUUGUUCUUUAGUAUGUUUGGUGCUAUAAUUUAGAUUUUAUCCCCUCUUUUGGUAGUUCCUUGAAGUAUGUGCUAGAUAAGCCAAAUGUAACUACUUUUAAAGCUUUCCAUUUUUCUAAGGUAUUACCAAGUUAUUUUUCGAGGAUUUAUAUUGUGUUACCACUCUGAUUCUGUUGCUACAUGUUAGUUGUGGUGUAGUAUUGACCUACACUGUUCUGACCUUUGUUUUUGUUUUUGCUUUUGUUUUUGUUUUGUUUUAUGGAGAGAGAAAGAGAGAGACCACAGGAAAUUUGGUAGAUUGGGAGGCCAAGGAGUUAUGAGAGGAGUUGAGGGAGAGAAAAGAAUAUGAUAAAAAAUAUAUUGUCUAAAGUUUUAAUAAAUAAAAAAUAAUAAAUAGUCCUAAAAAUAAGAAUAUCAUUGAAGUUUUAAGUAUAACUCUGGGGAGAAAAAUCUAAACCUGUACUUUUCCUAAACUCAAACUUUGAUGAAAUAUAGAUCAUGAAACACAGCCUCUUUCAUUUGAAGAAUCUAUUCAUUAAAAAAACAAUUUAAUACUUACUUUUGUCUGAAGCUCAUCUUUGUAUUUCAACAUAGAACAGCUAAGUUCUGCUCUUUCUUCUGUUAAAACAUACUUUCUAACAACACCAUUACCAGACAAGGACCCUCUGGAACCAUGAUGUGACAAUACAUUAUUGGCCUAAUUUGUAAUGGUAUCUGAAUGAAAGAAAACUAUGAACAACAUGGAUACAAAGAAAUCAAAG
rnacentral:lncRNA from 1 species